rnacentral:rRNA from 1 species
GAUGAACGCUGACAGAAUGCUUAACACAUGCAAGUCAACUUGAAUUUGGGUUUUUAACUUAAGUUUGGGUGGCGGACGGGUGAGUAACGCGUAAAGAACUUGCCUCACAGCUAGGGACAACAUUUGGAAACGAAUGCUAAUACCUAAUAUUAUGAUAAUAGGGCAUCCUAUAAUUAUGAAAGCUAUAAGCGCUGUGAGAGAGCUUUGCGUCCCAUUAGCUAGUUGGAGAGGUAACUGCUCACCAAGGCGAUGAUGGGUAGCCGGCCUGAGAGGGUGAUCGGCCACAAGGGGACUGAGACACGGCCCUUACUCCUACGGGAGGCAGCAGUGGGGAAUAUUGGACAAUGGACCAAGAGUCUGAUCCAGCAAUUCUGUGUGCACGAUGAAGUUUUUCGGAAUGUAAAGUGCUUUCAGUUGGGAAGAAAGAAAUGACGGUACCAACAGAAGAAGUGACGGCUAAAUACGUGCCAGCAGCCGCGGUAAUACGUAUGUCACGAGCGUUAUCCGGAUUUAUUGGGCGUAAAGCGCGUCUAGGUGGUUAUAUAAGUCUGAUGUGAAAAUGCAGGGCUCAACUCUGUAUUGCGUUGGAAACUGUAUAACUAGAGUACUGGAGAGGUAAGCGGAACUACAAGUGUAGAGGUGAAAUCGUAGAUAUUUUGUAUGAAUGCCGAUGGGGUAUGCCUGCUUUCUGGUCUGAUACUGACGUUGAAGCGCGAAAGCGGUGUUUAGCAAACAGGAGUAUGAUUCUUGGUAGUCCAUGGUGUGUUCCACAGUGUGAUAUUAAUCUUAAUCGAUUACCGUCUAUCUCUAGGGGGGGUCAAAUAACCAAAUUUUGUUCACAUUUAGUGAGGGUU